rnacentral:sRNA from 1 species
GCCAGGUGUGGUGGUGGGCACCUGUAAUCCCAGCUACUUGGGAAGCUGAGAUAGGAGAAUCACUUGAGCCCAGGAGGCAGGGGUUGCAGUGAGCUGAGAUGGUGCCACUGCACUCCAGCCUGGGCAACAGAGUGAAAAUCCAUCUCAA